UACGUAGGGCGCAAGCGUUGUCCGGAAUUAUUGGGCGUAAAGAGCUCGUAGGCGGCUUGUCGCGUCGGAUGUGAAAGCCCGGGGCUUAACCCCGGGUCUGCAUUCGAUACGGGCAGACUAGAGUGUGGUAGGGGAGAUCGGAAUUCCUGGUGUAGCGGUGAAAUGCGCAGAUAUCAGGAGGAACACCGGUGGCGAAGGCGGAUCUCUGGGCCAUUACUGACGCUGAGGAGCGAAAGCGUGGGGAGCGAACAGG
rnacentral:rRNA from 1 species